AGAGCGAACGCUGGCGGCAUGCUUAACACAUGCAAGUCGCACGGUCAGGUUUCGGCCUGGUAGUGGCGGACGGGUGAGUAACGCGUAGGUAUCUAUCCGAAGGUGGGGGAUAACGGCGGGAAACUGCUGCUAAUACCGCAUAUGACCUGAGGGUCAAAGGUCGCAAGACCGCCUGUGGAGGAGCCUGCGUACGAUUAGCUUGUUGGUGGGGUAAAGCCUACCAAGGCGACGAUCGUUAGCUGGUCUGAGAGGAUGAUCAGCCACAUUGGGACUGAGACACGGCCCAAACUCCUACGGGAGGCAGCAGUGGGGAAUAUUGGACAAUGGGGGCAACCCUGAUCCAGCAAUGCCGCGUGUGUGAAGAAGGUCUUCGGAUUGUAAAGCACUUUCGACGGGGACGAUGAUGACGGUACCCGUAUAAGAAGCCCGGCUAACUUCGCGCCAGCAGCCGC
rnacentral:rRNA from 1 species